GGGGAAUUUUCCGCAAUGGGCGCAAGCCUGACGGAGCAAUACCGCGUGAGGGAGGAAGGCUCUUGGGUCGUAAACCUCUUUUCUCAGGGAAGAACACAAUGACGGUACCUGAGGAAUCAGCAUCGGCUAACUCCGUGCCAGCAGCCGCGGUAAUACGGAGGAUGCAAGCGUUAUCCGGAAUGAUUGGGCGUAAAGCGUCCGUAGGUGGUUAUGUAAGUCUGUGGUUAAAGCGUGGGGCUCAACCCCAUAAGGGCCAUGGAAACUACAAGACUUGAGUGAAGUAGGGGUAGAGGGAAUUCCCAGUGUAGCGGUGAAAUGCGUAGAGAUUGGGAAGAACACCGGUGGCGAAAGCGCUCUACUGGACUUAAACUGACACUGAGGGACGAAAGCUAGGGGAGCGAAAGGGAUUAGAUACCCCUGUAGUCCUAGCCGUAAACGAUGGAUACUAGGUGUUGCCCGUAUCGACCCGGGCAGUGCCGUAGCUAACGCGUUAAGUAUCC
rnacentral:rRNA from 1 species